GAAUCCCGUCUUUGGCACGGAUGCCCGGUGCUUCUGUGAUGCGCUCUCGAAGAGUCGAGUUGUUUGGGAAUGCAGCUCAAAAUGGGUGGUGAACUCCAUCUAAAGCUAAAUAUUGGCGAGAGACCGAUAGCGAACAAGUACCGUGAGGGAAAGAUGAAAAGCACUUUGGAAAGAGAGUGAAACAGUACGUGAAAUUGUUGAAAGGGAAACGCUUGAAGUCAGUCGCGUCGACCGAGACUCAGCCUUGCCCUUGGCUUGGUGUACUUCUCGGCUGACGGGUCAGCAUCAAUUUUGCCCCUUGGAUAAUGGCGAGGGAAAUGUGACACCUUUACGGUGUGUUAUAGUCUCUUGUCGCAUGCAAGGGUUGGGAUUGAGGAACUCAGCACGCACCUUUGGGUGUCGGGGCUUUGCCCACGAUACGUGCUUAGGAUGUUGGCGUAAUGGCUUUAAACGACCCGUCUUGAAACACGGACCAAGGAGUCUAACAUGCCUGCGAGUGUUUGGGUGGAAAACCCGGACGCGUAAUGAAAGUGAAAGUUGAGAUCCCUGUCGUGGGGAGCAUCGACGCCCGGACCAGACCUUUUGUGACGGAUCCGCGGUAGAGCAUGUAUGUUGGGACCCGAAAGAUGGUGAACUAUGCCUGAAUAGGGUGAAGCCAGAGGAAACUCUGGUGGAGGCUCGUAGCGAUUCUGACGUGCAAAUCGAUCGUCAAAUUUGGGUAUAGGGGCGAAAGACUAAUCGAACCAUCUAGUAGCUGGUUCCUGCC
rnacentral:rRNA from 1 species